AAGAAGAAGAAGGAGAAGGAGAAAUGGAUUUGGAGUCGGUGAAGAGAUACCUGGAGAAAGGCGGACGAGAAGGCGAAGAUGACAAGAACCGAUCAACCAUCGAAGGAAUGCCUCUCAGAUUCUUCGAACGCUUCAUAAUGCAAGGCCUUCACGUUGACCUUAUUGAACCCGGCCGUAUAGUUUGCUCCAUGAAAGUCCCUCCUCGCCUACUGAAUGCUGGCAAUUUCUUGCAUGGUGGAGCUACGGCCACGCUCGUUGACUUGGUGGGUUCAGCUGUAAUAUACACUGUUGGAGCCCAAUUUACCGGAGUUUCGGUGGAAAUCAACGUUUCAUACUUGGAUGCUGCUUAUGUCGAUGAAGAAAUUGAGAUUGAGGCAAAGGUUCUCCGAGUUGGUAAGGCUGUUGGAGUUGUCAGCGUUGAGCUCAGGAAGAAAAAAACUGGGAAAAUUAUUGCUCAGGGCCGUCACACCAAGUACCUUGCUGUUUCUAGCAAAUUGUAAAUGGCCUGCUAAUCUGCAGCUUCCUCAUAAUGGAAUUGUCUUAUCUAUGUAAUUACUUUCAUUGUAACCAAUAAUGCAUUUUGCAAAUAUUUGCCAAUAUAUUAUGUUUUAUGGAAUGGUGCAAAAUGGGAGAAAUGCUGACUAAAAUUUGUUUAAUUUGGAUUUUGGAAAAUUUUGACAGCUAUCAUUAACAAAUAUAUUUUGCUUGGCCCUUCCUUUUGGCAGUUGCUGCAGUUCCCUCGUACGCUAGUCAGAGUUCCAGUAACGGCAUUUACUCGCGGUACAAUCUACUUUUGUUAUGAGUGGUUUUUACUUGGUCUGAGCAAAUGAUUCAGCUUUGUUUGAUUCCAUAUAACCUUCUGGACCAAAAACGAAAAACCAAUAACCUCUCCUUGAGUGUUCCUCAAAACUGCUCCUCUACUCCCCGCGUACCAAAAAGUUAGGUUUCCCCAAAGACAAGCAAUUUACAUUCCAUUUUUCCGAAAAAUCUACCGUAAAAAACUGAUUAGCUGACUACCAUGAUAGGGAAAUGUCAACUCGAUCAGUCUGUCUUAUCCUGUUUUCUGAAGCUUUUCACAGGCAAAAUGCUUGCAUUGAAUGUACAGGACCCUGAAAUUAUUUGGACUGCACCAAGACAUCCCUCCAAUCAAGAAACCUUUUCACAUGCCUAAUCGAAUCACCAUGAAAUGAAUGGGAUGAUGACAUAAAUGCAUAUCUAAUUAGAGAAAAGAAUGAAAAAAGAAAUGCAAAAUUUGGCUA
rnacentral:misc_RNA from 1 species